GACGAACGCUGGCGGCGUGCCUAAUACAUGCAAGUUGAGCGAUGAAGAUUGGUGCUUGCACCAAUUUGCAGAGCAGCGAACGGGUGAGUAACGCGUGGGGAAUCUGCCUUUGAGCGGGGGACAACAUUUGGAAACGAAUGCUAAUACCGCAUAACAACUUUAAACAUAAUUUUUAAGUUUGAAAGAUGCAAUUGCAUCACUCAAAGAUGAUCCCGCGUUGUAUUAGCUAGUUGGUGAGGUAAAGGCUCACCAAGGCGAUGAUACAUAGCCGACCUGAGAGGGGGAUCGGCCACAUUGGGACUGAGACACGGACCAAACUACUACGGGAGGCAGCAGUAGGGAAUCGUCGGCAAUAGAGGAAAGUAUGACAGAGCAACGCCGCGUGAGUGAAGAAGGUUUUCGGAUCGUAAAAAUCUGUUGGUAGAGAAGAACGUUGGUGAGAGUGGAAAGCGCAUCAAGUGACGGUAACUACACAGAAAGGGACGGCUAACUACGUG
rnacentral:rRNA from 1 species